rnacentral:rRNA from 1 species
GUAAGGAAUAUUGGACAAUGGUCGCAAGACUGAUCCAGCCAUGCCGCGUGCAGGAAGACGGCCCUAUGGGUUGUAAACUGCUUUUGUACCAGAGAAAACCUAUCUACGUGUAGAUAGCUGAUAGUAUGGUAAGAAUAAGCAUCGGCUAACUUCGUGCCAGCAGCCGCGGUAAGACGAAGGAUGCAAGCGUUAUCCGGAUUCAUUGGGUUUAAAGGGUGCGUAGGCGGGCUUGUAAGUCAGUGGUGAAAUCUCUCAGCUUAACUGAGAAACUGCCAUUGAUACUGCAGGCCUAGAGUAUAGAUGACGUUGGCGGAAUAUGACAUGUAGUGGUGAAAUACUUAGAUAUGUCAUAGAACACCGAUUGCGAAGGCAGCUAACGAAACUAUAACUGACGCUGAGGCACGAAAGUGCGGGGAUCAAACA